rnacentral:rRNA from 1 species
GACGAACGCUGGCGGCGUGCCUAACACAUGCAAGUCGAGCGAGGUUGUCUCUUCGGAGAUAACCUAGCGGCGGACGGGUGAGUAACACGUGGGCAACCUGCCUCGAAGAGGGGGAUAGCCUCCCGAAAGGGAGAUUAAUACCGCAUAAUAUCAGUAUAUCGCAUGAUAUAUUGAUUAAAGGAGAAAUCCGCUUCGAGAUGGGCCCGCGGCGCAUUAGCUAGUUGGUGAGGUAACGGCUCACCAAGGCGACGAUGCGUAGCCGACCUGAGAGGGUGAUCGGCCACAUUGGGACUGAGACACGGCCCAGACUCCUACGGGAGGCAG